CCCACAUACACUGUGGUCCCACUCUGCGAUUGUGCUGCCAUUGAUUAUCAUAGUGGCUGCCAGAUCACUUUAUAGUUUUCCCUACUCACUGUCCCAUGGGAGCUUUUCUUCAAAAAUAAACGUCGGUUAACUCUGUGCCAACACUCGCGGUAAUACAGAAGAAGAUGAAAGCGUUAUCCGAAAUGAUUAGGCAUAAAGCGUUUAUAAGUAGAUUUUUAAGUUUGUUGUCAAAUCCUGAGCUCAACCCUAGAUAGAUGGUAAAAACUACUAAGUUGUAGUACGGUAAAAACAAAGGGAAUUUUUGGUUAAACGGUGAAAUUGGUAGAAAUCAGGAACAACAUUAACGGCGAAAACACUCUAUUGAAUCGAUACUGACAUUAAAAGAGUAAUAUUAGAUAUCUUAACAUUUUAUUA
rnacentral:ncRNA from 1 species